rnacentral:lncRNA from 1 species
AACACCUUGGUCUUCUUCAUCAAUGAAACCAACAGUUGCUUAUAGAUAAAUUCUUGGCUUGGCUUGAAAAUCUUGUGGCAUGGAAGCUAAGCAUUCAUGAGUUUAGCAUGAGAGAGACAAAGACAGAGGUUAGGGUGGGAAAGUGGAUGCUUUGGGUAAUUUUUCGGCAGCUCGACAAAGGGUUUGUCGGGUUCUGGAAUGGCUUGCUAGAGGAGAGGAUGGGCAUAGAUGGAGGAAUAGGGCUCGAAAUUGAAGGGGUUUCAAGGAUGAGAGGUGAAUCUUAUUCUUCUGAUGUGUGUUGGUUCUAAUGUGUAGGAGAUACCCUUUUUAUAGCCGCUGGAAGCUCCUCCUUCCCAAGAAAUCUGAAUGGGUUCUCUCUAAUUUUGCCAAGUCUCCCCUUUCAUUUCUCUUCUCUCCCUUUGAUUCAUCCUAUUUUGUGAAUCAUUCCUUUGUCCAAACACACAAAGACAAGAUUUUUGGGAGGCCUCUUUGCAGCUACUUCAGUGUUAAACUCCUAUUCUGGCUACCACCUCACC